UGUGUUGAGCGCAGGUGUGUUAUGUCCUGUAGUGACUUUCUGUGUGAUGUGCAGUGCUUAUCUAUACGGACAUUGCAGACUCCAGGAAUAAUCCCGAAGCAAGUGUUCUCAUUAUCAUUAAGAGAGACCGGAGGCGACUUCUAAAACCAACCUUCGCAGAUUACUGGCGACAGCCAACAGUGUCUGAUUGUCACCCACUACACCCGACAAGUGGGUCGUCAUACAAGUUUGCCUGUAGUCACAGGUUGAAGGUACAGGACAGUGGAUACGUCGCACCCAGAACUUUUCUUAAACGGA